AGGUCUGAACAGAAUUAAGAAGAAAAAGCUUUCACAGUCACAGCAGAUGAAGAUCCACUGGUAAAUUGAUUAGGAUUUUUGGCCUGCCCUCCAAAGAAAAGUUUAAGAAAACAAUUUGAGGGAGUUGCCGUUGUGGCAUAGUGGAAAUGAAUCCAGCCAGUAUCCAUGAGGAUGUAGGUUUGAUUCCUGGCCUUGCUCAGUGGGUUGGCGAUUUGACAUUGCCGUGAGCUGUGGUGUAGGUCGCAGAUGCAGUUCGGAUCCCACAUUGCUGUGGCUAUGGUAUAGGCUGGCAGCUGCAGCUCUGAUUUGACCCCUAGCCUGGGAGCUUCCAUAUGCUGCAGAUAUGGUCCUAAAAAAGGAAAAAGGAAGAAAAGAAAACAAUUUGAAUCAACCUAAAUAAGUCUGUGGGAUUCUGUCAUACUGUGAGGUUGCUAUCUCUUAAUACCUCCAGAAUAGAAGUGAUAAAGUCAGUUAGAGAAAGGUGAAGAUUUUGGGUCAAGCUAAGCUGUUAGGGAAGGUAAGAAUUGAUUUGAAACUCAUAUAAAAGCUUGGCCUUGAUUAGCACAUGAAGCUGAAGGAAGGGAAAAGAUAAUGUUAUGUAACUAUUCACAAUAACAAAAAGGUAGAAACAACCCAAACGUCCAUAAAUGGAUGAGUGGAUAAACUGUGGUAUAUCCACACAGUGAAAUUUUAUUGAACCAUAAGAAGAAAAAAUUACAUAUAUGUGCUCCAACAUAGGUGACCCUUGAAAACAUAUUAACUGAAAGAAGCCAGACUAAAAGGUCACAUAUCAUAUAGUUUCAACAAUGUGAAAUAUUCCAAACAGGCAAAUCUAUUAAGAAAGAAAACAGAUGUGGUUUCUAGGAGGAAGCAUGAGAGAUGGGGAGUGACUGUUUAGUGGGAGCAGUGUUUCCUUCUAGGGUGAUGAGAAGUUCUGGAACAAAAUAGUGAUGAUGGUUGCACGACAUCGUGAAUGUACUAAAUGUCACUAAGUUGUAUACUUAAAAAUGGUUAAAAUGGUGAAUUUUAUGUUAUGUGAAUUUUACCUCAAUUAAAAAAAUGAAAUGAAU
rnacentral:lncRNA from 1 species